GGAACAGUUCAGUGAUGGAGUUGGCUACAGUUGGAUUGAUGGCUUGAAGGAUCACGCGAACAGUCAAGUUUCUGAUUCUAUGUUAGCGAAUGCAAGUUUUGUUUACCCUCAUAACACACCCACAACCAAGGAAGGGUACUACUAUAGAACUAUUUUCGAGCGAUAUUUCCCCAAGGCUGCUGCAAGAGAAACUGUUCCUGGUGGUCCAAGUGUGGCCUGCAGCACUGCAAAAGCAGUAGAAUGGGAUGCCGCUUGGUCCAAGAAUCUAGAUCCAUCCGGUCGAGCUGCUCUCGGUGUUCAUGAAGCUGCUUAUGAGGUUAAAGAACUAUGAAGUUGAUAAAGCUGUAGUAGCUGUUUGAUUGUAUAUCUUCAUUCAAAAACCUGACUUGUUCCACAUUUGACUUCUUUUACGAGUUUGAAUUCUUUGCUUCUGGUUUUACAAUUACCAA
rnacentral:misc_RNA from 1 species